UACGUAGGGUGCAAGCGUUAAUCGGAAUUACUGGGCGUAAAGCGUGCGCAGGCGGUUAUGUAAGACAGGUGUGAAAUCCCCGGGCUCAACCCGGGAACUGCGUCCGAUACUGGAAGGCUUGAAUCCGGGAGAGGGAUGCGGAAUUCCAGGUGUAGCGGUGAAAUGCGUAGAUAUCUGGAGGAACACCGGUGGCGAAGGCGGCAUCCUGGACCGGUAUUGACGCUGAGGCGCGAAAGCCAGGGGAGCAAACGGG
rnacentral:rRNA from 1 species